AUCCAUGCUCAAUUAUGUACCUUGCCUUGACGCAACUGGGUUUAAAUGAUGAAAGUUGAUAAAUACGGAUGUGACCUCACAUCCUACAGGUAGAUAACUACCGGAACUGUCGUAUUUUAUCAUAUAGUACUUUCGAUUUGAAAGAUCAUCAAUACAAAAUUAAGUACCCAAAAGAUUAGUCAGAUCUUCAAUAUCCCCACGACAAUGGCGACACCAUCGGCAAAACAUACAACUUUUGUCGGUAGAUCUAUAAAAGGUAUUGGAGUAGGAGAAGUGCCAGGAAUCGGUGAUAAAUCUAAAGAAAGACUCGGUAAAAAGGAAAUUACUAAAGCACAACAGCUUUUGGGUCAUUGCUUAGUACUUGAUAUGGACAGAGAAAAGUGUAAAAAUUUUCUUCAGACAUUCGGAAUGAACGAAAAGCAACAGACUGAUGCAUUCAACGCUUUGAAUGGUUGGGCCGACCAGCAUCUUUAGAAACUAAAAGUAUAGACAUAUCACCAUGCAACAAUUUAAUUUUUUAUUCACCAAUAAAUGAAUAAAUGUU